ACUCACAGGACUUUGUCAAAAAUACUGUGAUUUAUAUAGAUAGUGUGCAUACAGGAAACAAAAAACGACGUUUCGACCCCUGCAGGGGAAAAGGACCCUCAGGGGUCGAAACUUCGUUUUUUUGUUUGCUGUAUGCACAUUAUCUAAAUAAAUCACAGUAUUUUUGACAAAGUCCUGCGAGUG